rnacentral:rRNA from 1 species
GUGGGGAAUAUUGGACAAUGGGCGAAAGCCUGAUCCAGCCAUGCCGCGUGUGUGAAGAAGGUCUUCGGAUUGUAAAGCACUUUAAGUUGGGAGGAAGGGCAGUAAGUUAAUACCUUGCUGUUUUGACGUUACCAACAGAAUAAGCACCGGCUAACUUCGUGCCAGCAGCCGCGGUAAUACGAAGGGUGCAAGCGUUAAUCGGAAUUACUGGGCGUAAAGCGCGCGUAGGUGGUUCAGCAAGUUGGAUGUGAAAGCCCCGGGCUCAACCUGGGAAUUGCAUCCAAAACUACUGAGCUAGAGUACGGUAGAGGGUGGUGGAAUUUCCUGUGUAGCGGUGAAAUGCGUAGAUAUAGGAAGGAACACCAGUGGCGAAGGCGACUACCUGGACUGAUACUGACACUGAGGUGCGAAAGCGUGGGGAGCAAACAGGAUUAGAAACCCGGGUAGUCC